GCCGGCCCGGGCAGCGCCGGCAGCAGCUUGCCAUGGACUACGCUGAAAAGUAGUUAAAAGUUGUGGUCUAGCUAGGCUGUGCUCUUAACAGUUCUUUUUCUUCCCUAAGAGUAUUUUAUGGCACUCUCAAACUCUCAUUUAUGAAGAAUUGGUGCAACAGUGUGCUGUCAUUUACAAAUCAAAGGAAGUGUUCUGUCCAGGCACAUAUUCUUUUGAGAUUGCCUAAGUACCUGCUGCAAUCCAGCUUGGGCCCCAGUUUGGGUCCCAGUUUGAGUGCUACUAUUGGUGAAUUUCUGUGGUUUUCAUGAGCAGUUCCUUCUUUUAAAAGAUGUGGAGUAGCAAGAUUCAUCAUGCCAAUUCUGCAUGGGCCAUUUUGCAUUGGCAUUAGAGGUCACAGGAGCAGUGCAGGUGGAAGAACAAAGUUGAAACGACAGAAGCAGGCAGGUAUACUGGCAGCUCCAGGAGAGGAGGACUCCCAUCUGCGUUCCUUCACAGCUCCUUGUGCACAUGAGACACUGAAAAGUCCUUGAUUCAGAGUAAGCACUACUUAAACGUCAAACAUCAAAGCAAUGAAAGCAUCAGUGUGUUAUCAACACUGUUCUGAAUCUGAACCAAAGCACUGUACAAGCUACUAAGAAGAAAAUUAACUCCAUCUCAGUGGGAGAUAAAAUCAGUGUGGAUACAAGUCUCCUAGAGCCUGGAAUACACCAUUAAAUAGGUGCGUAGGAGAAAGGAAGAAGGAAAAAGAGAGCGCAGCAUAAUUCAAAGUGUUGCUGAGUUGCUGACUGGGUUACUGUUCUUGGAAGCGGAUUCUCAAGAAGAACAAAUCAAUCUCGUUCCUCUAAGAGUCUUCUAGAGCUCUGACCAGCCCUUUUACAAUGGAAGAGUUAAAACCAACUGAAUUUCAAUCCAACAAGAUGGCCUUCUUUUCUGGGUGUUACAGCUGCCUCUGAAACAGAAUCUACAUUACUGACAGAGGGAGAAAGCUGGUUGACGCAUCGGUAACCAUCGGUUGAUUUGAUAUGGUGGAAUAAAAGACUUUCUGAGAGUAAAGGAUGAGACAGAUAAAUUGAGGAGGAAAGCAAUAUCAGCAUCUGGAAGAGCAAGCUUAAAGUUAACAUGGAAAUUUGGAAGUAAGAAAAACUGAAGAGUACUACUGAUUGCAUGAUGAAAAGUGAAGAGAAUAACUGCCUACUUCUGCUUCUUGAAUCACUGAAUAAGGUUUUUAUGCCUUGUGUCAUCCUUCUGCUUUCUAGUACUACUGUUUUUUCUGUGAAAAACUGUUAAUAAUUUGGGGAGAAUACCAACUUUUUUAAGGAAAAAAAAAUCAAUGUGUGCAUGCAAAAAUUCAAGGUAAUAUGUCAGAAAUUUUUAUUUAAGUUUUGCUGUCUUAAAACUACUGUGAAACCGGUAAGAAAAUUUAUUAUUCAGUUUUGCAUAUCUCCUUACUGUUUAUUUGAUCCUACAACUUAUCCCUCUUCAUAAAAAGUCUGACUGCAUUUUGUCAGUAAGCCCUCCUAGGUAAUAAAAGCUGCUCAUAUUUUCUUGUAAGCCGAGCUGAUCAUGUCCUAGAACCUCAGCCACUCCUCACACACCAAGUGCUUCAGCUAUAAGGUGCUUGGAAACCAGCUGCUGAACCCAGUCCAGUUAGUCAGUCCUUGCCAGCUGGGCAUAGUAUCCAGAUGUACUCUCAGAAGUGCUGAAGUGAGGGGGUAAUCCUUUUUCUUGGUGUUCUAGCUGUGCACUAACGGAUGGUUUCCAGAGUGCCACUGGAUACUCAGCAGCCCUCACUGUGGGCUUACACACACCCUUGUCUGCCAAGGCUUCCAGGUCCCUUCCCUCAGCCAUGCUCCCAGGAAAGCAGGCAGACAUCACCCUGUGCCUUUG